rnacentral:lncRNA from 1 species
UUUGAAAUAGCCAAAAUGUUAGAACAUCUGGACAAAUCCUGAUUAAACGAACUUUGAUUGAUAUAUGUUUUUUGUCCCAUGAUAUACUUGAUUAAUAUUGAAGCUGAAUCUGCUUAAUAGAUGGGUGCAUCUCUUUCCAUUUGCCUCCGUUGAUAGCUAUGUUGAUAGCUUUGGGACAAGUCUCGACUUCUGAUUCUAUGCGCUACCUACUGGUAUCUGCGCUUGUUGUUACUAUUAUUAUUUUUUUUAAUGUCUUUUCAUAUUUUUCGGUUUUACUUGGAACCAAUGGUGAGAUCUUUGUAUAUCCAGAAACUCAUGGAUAAAGGUUACUUCAGUGUUAAAAAAAAGAUAUACUUGAUUUGUAGUCACUGAUGAAAUUUACCUAAUUUGUAUUUGAAAUAUGGCUAGUUGGCAAAUAAGCCCAUAUAAGUUCUCAAUAAUUUGGUGAGUUAACUCUUUGUUAAGUUUUGCUUCUCUUCUGUCAUGUUGAACAUUUUUUGGUCUCCCCCAUUAAACAAUAUAACGCUACGAGAAUUGAAACAUGAGGAAGAAAUAUACGUACCACGAGGUCCACGAAUACAACUAUACAAGAUUCCUCUACCCUUAUAUUGUAAGCGAAAGGUCUCUUAAUCUACACUAGCCUAGCUUUUUAUUUGACUAGAUC